GACGAACGCUGGCGGCGUGCCUAAUACAUGCAAGUUGAGCGCUGAAGGUUGGUACUUGUACCAACUGGAUGAGCAGCGAACGGGUGAGUAACGCGUGGGGAAUCUGCCUUUGAGCGGGGGACAACAUUUGGAAACGAAUGCUAAUACCGCAUAAAAACUUUAAACACAAGUUUUAAGUUUGAAAGAUGCAAUUGCAUCACUCAAAGAUGAUCCCGCGUUGUAUUAGCUAGUUGGUGAGGUAAAGGCUCACCAAGGCGAUGAUACAUAGCCGACCUGAGAGGGUGAUCGGCCACAUUGGGACUGAGACACGGCCCAAACUCCUACGGGAGGCAGCAGUAGGGAAUCUUCGGCAAUGGACGAAAGUCUGACCGAGCAACGCCGCGUGAGUGAAGAAGGUUUUCGGAUCGUAAAACUCGGUUGGUAGAGAAGAACGUUGGUGAGGGUGGAAAGCUCAUCAAGUGACGGUAACUACACAGAAAGGGACGGCUAACUACGUG
rnacentral:rRNA from 1 species